AAUCAACGCUGGCGGCGUGCCUCAGACAUGCAAGUCGAACGAUUAAAGCUCUCUUCGGAGAGUGCAUAGAGUGGCGCACGGGUGAGUAACACGUAAGUAAUCUACCCUCGAGUGGGGAAGUAACGUCCGGAACGGACGCUAAUACCGCAUAAUGCAGCGGCACCGCAAGGUGACAGUUGUUAAAGAUUUAUCGCUUGAGGAGGAGCUUGCGGCAGAUAGCUAGUUGGUAAGGUAAUGGCUUACCAAGGCUACGAUCUGUAACCGGUCUUAGAGGACGGUCGGUCACACUGACACUGAAUAACGGGUCAGACUCCUACGGGAGGCAGCAGUC
rnacentral:rRNA from 1 species